rnacentral:rRNA from 1 species
GGACUUCGGUCUGGUGGCGAGUGGCGAACGGGUGAGUAAUGUAUCGGAACGUGCCCAGUAGCGGGGGAUAACUACGCGAAAGCGUAGCUAAUACCGCAUACGCCCUACGGGGGAAAGCAGGGGAUCGCAAGACCUUGCACUAUUGGAGCGGCCGAUAUCGGAUUAGCUAGUUGGUGGGGUAACGGCUCACCAAGGCGACGAUCCGUAGCUGGUUUGAGAGGACGACCAGCCACACUGGGACUGAGACACGGCCCA